AUUGAACGCUGGCGGCAUGCUUUACACAUGCAAGUCGAACGGUAACAGGUUAAGCUGACGAGUGGCGAACGGGUGAGUAAUGCAUCGGAACGUGCCCGAUCGUGGGGGAUAACGCAGCGAAAGCUGCGCUAAUACCGCAUACGAUCUGAGGAUGAAAGCGGGGGACCGUAAGGCCUCGCGCGAUCGGAGCGGCCGAUGUCAGAUUAGGUAGUUGGUGGGGUAAAGGCUCACCAAGCCGACGAUCUGUAGCUGGUCUGAGAGGACGACCAGCCACACUGGGACUGAGACACGGCCCAGACUCCUACGGGAGGCAGCAGUGGGGAAUUUUGGACAAUGGGCGCAAGCCUGAUCCAGCAAUGCCGCGUGCAGGAAGAAGGCCUUCGGGUUGUAAACUGCUUUUGUACGGAACGAAACGGUGAUCUCUAAUACAGAUUGCUAAUGACGGU
rnacentral:rRNA from 1 species